UAAAAAAAAAAAAGUCAAUUAUAAAAAUAUUAACAGGAUGUGCGUUGGGAUAGUACCAUUUUCACUGCUGCCUUACCGCUAACGUCUCUGCUCAACUCAGAUUCCCCUGCCAUAUCUGCUUUCAUCUCUGCACAACUGAGAUUCCUGUCUCUCGUCUUCUACUUCGACGCAGCCUCCAACAUCCCCAGCGACAAGAGGACGCUAUUUUAAAUUGGGGAAGUUCAUUUCCUUGGGCAAGUUCAUUGACCUGGUGGUGAACACGGAGAAGACGAUUUUCUCUGCUGCUGAAAUUUUGCAAUGGCUUUUCUGUUUAACAAAUUUCAAGAGGCAGUGAAAGUUCUUGCAAAAAGUCCUACAUUUGCCAGAGAUCCAAGGCUUUGAAGCAGACAUAAAUCGCCUUUUCCUAUAUACCUGGUAACUGUCUAUUUGUUAUUGAAAUGAUCACUGGUUAUAAUUUGCCAUUUUUUUAAUGUAGAAUCUAUGUAGACAAUGGGAACUUCACUCAUAUUAUCGUUUACUAUUUGCUAGAACUUCAUUCACAUUAUCAUUUAGCAUUUGUAAUAACCAAGUAAACAUUACCAACUCAGUAGUCCUGUCACAUUUAAGAUGUGCUGCUUAAGUGUUAUUUUACUGUUUUCUCUUA